GGGGUGGCGGGCGUGCUUACCAUGCAGUCGAACGAUGAUCCGGUGCUUGCACCGGGGAUUAGUGGCGAACGGGUGAGUAACACGUGAGUAACCUGCCCUUAACUCUGGGAUAAGCCUGGGAAACUGGGUCUAAUACCGGAUAUGACUCCUCAUCGCAUGGUGGGGGGUGGAAAGCUUUUUGUGGUUUUGGAUGGACUCGCGGCCUAUCAGCUUGUUGGUGAGGUAAUGGCUCACCAGGCGACGACGGGUAGCCGGCCUGAGAGGGUGACCGGCCACACUGGGACUGAGACACGGCCCAGACUCCUACGGGAGGCAGCAGUGGGGAAUAUUGCACAAUGGGCGCAAGCCUGAUGCAGCGACGCCGCGUGAGGGAUGACGGCCUUCGGGUUGUAAACCUCUUUCAGUAGGGAAGAAGCGAAAGUGACGGUACCUGCAGAAGAAGCGCCGGCUAACUACGUGCCAGCAGCCG
rnacentral:rRNA from 1 species